GCAUAUCAAUAAGCGGAGGAAAAGAAACCAACAGGGAUUGCCUUAGUAGCGGCGAGUGAAGCGGCAAAAGCUCAAAUUUGAAAUCUGGCACCUUCGGUGUCCGAGUUGUAAUUUGAAGAUUGUAACCUUGGGGUUGGCUCUUGUCUAUGUUUCUUGGAACAGGACGUCACAGAGGGUGAGAAUCCCGUGCGAUGAGAUGCCCAAUCCUAUGUAAGGUGCUUUCGAAGAGUCGAGUUGUUUGGGAAUGCAGCUCUAAGUGGGUGGUAAAUUCCAUCUAAAGCUAAAUAUUGGCGAGAGACCGAUAGCGAACAAGUACAGUGAUGGAAAGAUGAAAAGAACUUUGAAAAGAGAGUGAAAAAGUACGUGAAAUUGUUGAAAGGGAAGGGUUUGAGAUCAGACUCGAUAUUUUGUGAGCCUUGCCUUCGUGGCGGGGUGACCCGCAGCUUAUCGGGCCAGCAUCGGUUUGGGCGGUAGGAUAAUGGCGUAGGAAUGUGACUUUGCUUCGGUGAAGUGUUAUAGCCUGCGUUGAUGCUGCCUGCCUAGACCGAGGACUGCGAUUUUAUCAAGGAUGCUGGCA
rnacentral:rRNA from 1 species